UAACCGCAGUAGCUGGCACAAAUUUUACCAAUACUAUAUAUUAUUACUAAUUCAAAAUUUCUUUUAUAAUUAAUAUCAAUUACUGCGAAUAAAAUAAAAUUUAAUAAUUUUUAAAAUUAAAAAAUAUUCACACAUAAAUUUACAUGGUAAAAUAAAAUAAUAAUAAAAUAUUUAACUAGAAUAAAAUAAUAUUAAUAU
rnacentral:rRNA from 2 species